rnacentral:rRNA from 1 species
UACGGAGGGUGCGAGCGUUGUCCGGAAUCACUGGGCGUAAAGGGCGCGUAGGCGGCCUGAUAAGUAGGGGGUGAAAUCCUGCGGCUUAACCGCAGGGCUGCCUUCUAAACUGUUAGGCUAGAGCACGGUAGAGGCAGAUGGAAUUCCCGGUGUAGCGGUGGAAUGCGUAGAGAUCGGGAAGAACAUCAGUGGCGAAGGCGGUCUGCUGGGCCGUUGCUGACGCUGAGGCGCGACAGCGUGGGGAGCAAACAGG